UACAGAGACUGCAAGCGUUAUUCGGAUUCACUGGGCGUAAAGGGUGCGCAGGCGGUCGUGUGUGUCAGAUGUGAAAUCCCGGAGCUUAACUCCGGAACUGCGUCUGAAACUACACGACUAGAGCAUUGGAGAGGGAAGUGGAAUUCAUGGUGUAGCAGUGAAAUGCGUAGAUAUCAUGAGGAACACCAGAGGCGAAGGCGACUUCCUGGACAAUUGCUGCGCUCAGGCACGAAAGCAUGGGGGAGCAAAAAGGG
rnacentral:rRNA from 1 species